GACAGAGGAGCCAAGCGUUGUUCGGAAUUACUGGGCGUAAAGGGCGCGUAGGCGGUCUUGUAAGUCCCGUGUGAAAUCCCUCGGCUCAACUGAGGAACUGCACGGGAAACUGCUUGGCUUGAGUUCGGGAGAGGGAAGCGGAAUUCCGGGUGUAGCGGUGAAAUGCGUAGAUAUCCGGAGGAACACCGGUGGCGAAGGCGGCUUCCUGGACCGACACUGACGCUGAGGCGCGAAAGCUAGGGGAGCAAACGGG
rnacentral:rRNA from 1 species